rnacentral:misc_RNA from 1 species
UCUUCGUAGGUGAACCUGCGAAGGGAUCAUUAUCGAGUGAGGGCCUCUGGCCCGACCUCCAACCCUUUGUUGAACUUCCGCGUUGCCUCGGGGGGAACCCGGCCGUUCGUGCCGGGACCCCCGAUGGACCCAACCAAAACUCUUUGCAUGUCGUGCGUCAGAGUAUUAAAGUAAAUCAAUUAAAACUUUCAACAACGGAUCUCUUGGUUCUGGCAUCGAUGAAGAACGCAGC